rnacentral:rRNA from 1 species
AGCUCCAAUAGCGUAUAUUAAAGUUGUUGCAGUUAAAAAGCUCGUAGUUGGAUUUCUGGUUGGAGCGACCGGUCGGGCAUUGAUUUGUCUGCACUGGAGUCGGUUCCGUCCAUCCUCUUGGAAAGUGCGUAUGGCAUUAAGUUGUCGUGCGUAUGAUCCAGGUCUUUUACUGUGAAAAAUUGAGUGUUUAAAGCAGGCCUUCGCCUUGAAUACAUUAGCAUGGAAUAAUAAGAUAGGACUUGGGUCUAUUUUGUUGGUUUGCAGACCGAAGUAAUGAUUAAUAGGGAUAGUUGGGGGUAUUUAUAUUCCGAUGUCAGAGGUGAAAUUCUUGGAUUUUUAAAGACGAACAAUUGCGAAGG